rnacentral:sRNA from 1 species
UUACAAAAGUGAUGUCCCAGAUCCUCAGUUCUAGAACCCAAAUAUUGCCUAACUGUUCCAUAUGUGAGUGGAAGCAUUGAGUUUUUACUGCAUUCUGAUUUCUGACUAUAUUGAAUUGCAUAUAAAUGCUGUAAAUUUUCAGCUAAUAUGUUAUUGGUAGUUCUGUGUGAGUUUUGGCCAAAAUAAUGGUUACUGGUAAAAUUGGUUAACAUGCUCAGAGUGGGCCUGCUAUAAUGGUAGUGGCAAUAGCAUGUCCAAAGCAGAACAACAAGCAAAACUACUUUAGAACCUUCAUUGCUAAAGAACCCUGGUUCAGAGAUUUGGCUGAGGAUGGACUAGUCAUGGUCCAGACUCUUGCCAUAUCUUCAAAGCGUGGGUGGCCUCCAGGAUCAGAGGAAUGCUUCUUCUUGUUACUGUUGUGCCAUGGGUUGCAUAGGCACAAACACAGGCCUGAUGGAAUAUGCCACUCAGGGGGGCAUUGUUACCUAUUCUUUUGAAUUCUGUACUUUGCCAAAUCCUGUUCUUAAUUCAGAACAUCACCAUAUGUGCCAAAUUACUUUGCAUUAAUGCUCUUCAUCUUUUAACUCAUUUACAUCAGCAUGCAAUAGCAUUAACAGAACAAAAUCUUUUAAUCUUCAAUCUGCUAUGCUUAGUUCUCAUCUCUAUAGCCCCUUAUUGUGAUUUUCAUCUUCUUAUAGGUCACUGAGUCAAGGAAGCACAAAUUCAAACAUGCUGGAUGUUCAGGGAGGUGCUCACAAAAAAAGGGCACGCCGCAGCUCUCUGCUUAAUGCCAAGAAGCUAUAUGAGGAUGCCCAAAUGGCAAGGAAGGUGAAGCAGUAUCUUUCCAGUCUGGAUGUAGAGACAGAUGAGGAGAAGUUCCAGAUGAUGUCAUUACAGUGGGAGCCUGCAUAUGGUACCUUGACCAAGAAUUUAAAUGAGAAAAGAUCAGCCAAAUCAUCUGAAAUGUCUCCAGUGCCUAUGAGGUCAGCUGGCCAAACAACUAAAGCCCACUUGCAUCAACCCCACAGAGUAAGCCAGGUGCUUCAGGUGCCAGCUGUUAAUUUGCACCCCAUCAGGAAGAAGGGACAAACAAAAGACCCUGCAUUGAAUACCAGUUUACCUCAGAAAGUUUUAGGAACAACUGAAGAAAUAAGUGGUAAGAAGCAUACAGAAGACACUAUUUCCGUGGUGUCAUCUUUACAUUCUAGUCCUCCUGCAUCUCCUCAAGGUUCCCCUCACAAAGGUUACACACUUAUUCCAUCAGCUAAAUCUGACAACUUGUCUGACUCCAGCCAUAGUGAGAUUUCUUCACGGUCCAGCAUCGUGAGCAAUUGUUCUGUUGACUCCAUGUCUGCAGCUCUACAGGAUGAACGGUGUUCCUCUCAGGCCCUGGCAGUCCCUGAAUCCACUGGGGCAUUGGAAAAGACAGAGCACCCCUCAGGGAUAGGAGAUCAUAAUCAACAUGGCCCUGGGUGGACACUCUUGAAGCCAUCUCUAAUCAAGUGUUUAGCUGUCUCAUCGUCUGUGAGCAAUGAAGAGAUUUCUCAUGAGCAUAUCAUUAUAGAAGCAGCAGACAGUGGUCGUGGAAGUUGGACUUCGUGUUCAAGCAGCUCCCAUGACAACUUCCAAAGCCUUCCAAACCCAAAAAGCUGGGAUUUUUUGAACUCUUACAGACAUACCCAUUUGGAUGACCCCAUUGCUGAAGUUGAACCCACUGACUCUGAGCCCUAUUCCUGUUCUAAAAGCUGCUCUAGAACUUGCAGGCAGUGUAAAGGAAGCCUAGAGAGAAAGAGUUGGACCUCCUCCAGUUCUCUGUCUGACAUGUAUGAACCAAACUAUGGGACAGUUAAACGGAGAGUAUUGGAGAGCACCCCAGCUGAGUCAUCUGAAGGCUUGGACCCCAAGGAUGUCACUGACCCAGUUUAUAAAACUGUCACUUCAAGUACAGAAAAGGGCUUGAUUGUGUACUGUGUCACCUCGCCCAAGAAGGAUGAUAGGUAUAGGGAGCCACCUCCCACUCCUCCAGGAUAUUUGGGGAUUUCUUUAGCAGACCUAAAGGAAGGACCCCACCCACACCUAAAACCUCCAGAUUAUAGUGUGGCAGUGCAGAGGUCAAAGAUGAUGCAUAACAGCCUCUCUAGACUGCCACCAGCUUCUCUCAGUAGCAACCUCGUGGCCUGUGUUCCAUCGAAGAUUGUAACUCAGCCUCAGAGGCAUAAUUUGCAGCCAUUCCAUCCUAAACUAGCAGAUGUGACUGAUGCAGAUAGCGAAGCAGAUGAAAAUGAACAAGUUUCAGCAGUCUAGCCUUUGGAUGACCUAUUUGAAAACCACUGAAAGUCGUGGAGGAAUGGGCAGAACCACCUCAUGAUUCUGGAGGCCAUUGCUAACAAACAGCUCAUUGCUACAACCAGUCCAGAAGUUUUAUUCCCUCUACUCCGAGCAAUGAAAUAGACCUGAGUUAUGCUUCUUUUCAUUUAAUUUCUGCAGAUGAAUAGUUUCCUGAGCAAUGGAUGCUAUGCCUGGAUACCAGUCUCCACUUUGCACGCCAGAACUGCCUUGGGACCACAGUUACAGAAAAAAUUUAAACUCAGAGUGAUCCUUGUGUGUAUUGCUGUAGAUUUUUCUUUAACAAGCUAUUUUAAAGAUAAUGGCAUUAUUAUUUCCAAGCCAUAGCUUGGGCUGAAGGACAAAUUGAAAGUGUCUGCCAAUACCAAGGAUAUUCUUGUAUAUUUGAAAAAUAACUUAUUAUUUGAAUUGUUGUGGUUUUGUUUGUAUUUGAGAGCUCUUGUUAGCUGAUGUUCAUGUUUGAGGUCAUAAAAUUGUCUCUCGUCUGACCAAACAGAAGUCAUCUUUACAGAGGUGAUACGCUUGAUCUACACAGAGAUGUGACUUGAUCUGUAGCACCAAUGCAAUGUAGGUCUCAGUUUGAGAGAAAUAGGAAGCCCUUUGCAGUUGAGGUGUUAGGAACCUGCUGGUCAUGGUGUGGAAGGCCAAAUGAAGCUGCCAUAGGGUUUCUUGUCAGUCCUUUGAGAAAUGGGAGGGAGUAUGGGGAGGAGGGUGGGAACCCUAAUUUCCACAGAAUGAAAUUUUGAUGUUAAAUGACAUGUAUACAAAUUCUUUCUUAAAGUUAUGCUGCAUCGAAUUGUAACUGAAAGUAUAGAUCCAACAAAUAGAGACUGGGUUCUAGAGAGUUCUGGUCUAUAGAAACCCAAAACUAAAAUCUCUCAUAACUCAAGUAUGGAAUACUUUUUUUAAAGAAAUUCUUAUCAUGGAUGUUGUAAUAAUGAAGAUGAAUUCAACUUUAUGCAGUGUUCUGCAGCAUGCCACCCCCACAUCUCAUAGCACCAGGUUGUGUCUAACCUGACAUACCCUGCAGCUCUCAGCUGCCUGCAGUAACAUUUUGUGGGAGAGAGAGGAGCUGGAGUUAUAGAAAUGAUUGUCUCUUGGUUCUCAGUUUUUAGCCCUUGAGAGGACAUACUUUUCCAGCCUCAUGGGUAUGGCACUCUUAAUUAAAAUUUCAGUGACUGUUUACUGGAUGAGGCAGAUUUUUCACAUUUUUGCAAAUUAAAUAUAUUUUAUAUAUAUUAAGUUUAAUUUUUUCAGUUUUUUUAAUGUAAAAGCAAGUGGAAUUUUAAUAAACUUCUGUAAUUACCAAAAAAAAAAAAAAAAAAAAA